GUAGGUGAACCUGCGGAAGGACCAUUAAAGAAUCGCCCCGUUUUUUGAAAUGGGUUCUAUUCCCAAACCGUGUCUACAUACCUUUGUUGCUUUGGCAGGCCGCCGCUUAGGCGUUGGCUCCGGCUGACUGCGCCUGCCAGAGGACCCAAACUCGUUUGUUUAGUAAUGUCUGAGUACUAUAUAAUAGUUAAAACUUUCAACAACGGAUCUCUUGGUUCCG
rnacentral:misc_RNA from 1 species